rnacentral:rRNA from 1 species
UACGUAGGGGUGCAAGCGUUGUCCGGAAUUAUUGGGCGUAAAGAGCUCGUAGGCGGUUUGUCGCGUCUGCUGUGAAAAACUCGGGGCUUAACCCCCGGGCCUGCAGUGGGGUACGGGCAGACUAGAGUGCGGUAGGGGAGACUGGAAUUCCUGGUGUAGCGGUGAAAUGCGCAGAUAUCAGGGAGGAACACCGGUGGCGAAGGCGGGUCUCUGGGCCGUAACUGACACUGAGGGACGAAAGCUAGGGGAGCGAAUGGG